AGGGACAUUCCACACCUCACUCCGGCCAGUUCUGCAGGCACGCCAUGGUACCUGCUGUUGCUUCUACACCUCAGGUCAUUUGCUCAUGCUGUCCCUGCAACACUCCCUACGGGGCACACUGGCUACUCUGCUUUUCCAUGUUCCUUCUUGUCAUCUCUUCAGAGAGGCCUUAGAACAGUCUCAUCAAAUGAGGUUUCUUCGUCCCACCUUCCCCCACUCCUGUCAUUGUACCUGGUCAACUCCUAAAGUCUCCUACCACAUAUAAUUAUGCACAUCAAUAGUUUUUAUGCUUGUUUACAUUCCUCCCUUAUUUACUUUUUGUCUUUUUCACUAGUCUGUAAGUCUCUGAUGGUAAGGAUGGUCUUGCCCCCACUGUCUAACCAGUCGUAACACAGUUCCUGAUGUUGGCAUAUAUCGGCAUGUGAUUGCUUACAUUCUAUAAACAUUUGUUCAAAGCACAGAGGCUUAAAUAUUCAAGUGAGGGAGAAACAAGCACUAGUGCUUCCUUAAAAGGUUCACAAGAAAUGGCAAUGAAACCGAGAGGACGAUUUUACAUAUGUACACACAUGUAUCUAACUCCCACCCCAGGGAAUGCUCAACAUUCCGAUGUCCUUAGCCUGUUGAGGAUCCACAAAAACCACUUAGCUACAGAGGAAGUUUCAAUUACACAAGGGAGAUUAAAGCUGCAGCACUUGGGAAUAAUUACCACGAUCUUUUCCAUUAUACAUGCUCAAGAAGAAGAAAAGAAAAAAGAGAGAUCGGUAUGAAAACCCAAUGGAAAAACAUUUAAAACACUAAUCAAAUGACUAUUACAAUCCUAGGAAAAUUAUUUCAAAGUCUCAGAUCUUUGGUCUGAGGCCUGAGGACUAAUCCUUGAAUGAUGUGGUUAAAACUCAAGAAUUCCAAAAGCUCUGCUUGAGUGGGAAGGUUUCCAGUGCUCUGCUCUGGCCAGAGCCAUCCAGUGAAGGGAUACCUUCCUGCCUGAGGUGCUUCUGCACUCUGACAAUCCCCCGACCACUAGCAUUCUGCAUCUCCAGUUGUUCUUCAGGUAUCUGGUUUAUUUCUCACUGCCGUGUGGUAAUUUUUGUGGCUAGGGAUGUGUUUUAAGCUUCUCUUCCUGGUCUAGAUAAUCUUCUAGAGGGCUGUGGUGAGCAUCUACAAAUCUUGCUACCCAAAAUCUAUUGUCUUUGGAAAAACAGUUCAUUCUUAUUUUUCUCUCGGGAAGACUCUCAGUCCCUACCUUCUGCAGCUCUGCAACUUUUGUGCUCCUAAUCCUCCCACUUCUCAUUUAAAACAGCACCUCCUCCUCUUCCAGCCAACGGCACUCAAUGGGCACGAGUGCUUUCAUUUGAGUAGCUGCCUCGAGGCUGCCCUGGGGAAAGCCUCCUGCCGCAGGGAUCUGAGCAUCUAUCUGGCUGGAGCAGGACCAGAACUCCAGAACAAGGACACUCAGCCCCGGCUACAGUUGGGUCUGGGCCACACAUCCAAAAAGGGUCAAGAAGGGGGGCGGCUUGUAGGUUGAACCAUGGCGCCACUCACCCAACAGCCUUCUGAAAUCCCGAGCUUCGGCUCUACGUGGAAUCCGGCGCUGGUGGAGGUGGAGGAGAAUCCUUGCCUAUGCGCCCGCCUGUCUUCACCUCAGGCUGGUUCAAGUGCAGGUUUCCCAAGCCAUCACCGCAGAGGCUCACUGCCAUCCAUCCAUGGACGUCUUCCUAUACCCGCUUCAAGAGCUGGAGUUGCUGAAGAGUGUCUUCCUACACCGGGUUUAAGAGCUGGGGUUGCUGAAUGAGGGACUUCCAGUCUGCACAGAGUGGGGACCCAUCCUGAUCCUGUGAGAGCCGCCAUGGUCACCAAGUUCGCCAUCCACUGGGAGAUGGACAGUUAAGCAGGUAGUUGUGAUGUGGACAAGUAGUUUUGUCUUUAUACCCAAAGACUCCAUGCCAACAAGAGCUCCAUUUCCUAAACCCAACAGGAUGAAUUCCUCCAAGCACCAGGGGAGCUGUCAAAUAAAAAGCAAGUCAGCCUCGGGUAAGGAGAGACAGUGUAGGAAAGCCUUAUUGCAAGGGGAGGGACCACAGCAACUUUGGCCACGAGGUCUGCUCACAUCAGCUCCAGACACCUCCCUCAGGGGGAGUCCAGAAGGCACCACACCUUUUAGAAAAUGUUGUAAAUUAAUCACAGUGUGGGAUGCCACCCAUGAAGCUACUUCAACCGUGAAGCUACUUGAAUGGCUUUUACUCAGUACUGAGCUAUGGGGGACUUAGGUCUCCCCUGGGGAGAGAGGUCUUUCCGGCAUUCCCGUAUGUAGGCUGCCCGAGGCGCAAGAUCUCUGCCCUCACUGUACUAGUGGGACAGGUCUUGGAGCUCCAGAGUUGGGCCUAACCCAUAAGAACCCACCCCCUACUUCAUUUGGCAAAGAAUAUUCCAUGGAAACCAUUGAAGUUCCACCACAUAAAUAAAACAAAUGAGGUCUCUCCAUCUUUCUUUCCAGUGUGGAAGCUCGACCCCUGAGGUCGAAGAGCCCUCCUGCCUCCCCACUCCACCCCCAACCCCUGUUUUCGAGAACUGCUUCCUGUGUCCUGUGGUUUCUUCGCAGUUGUCUCUUUCUUAGCUGUUACACGCAGAGGAAAUCCAAAUUUCUUUGCCUGUAGGGGACGUAGGCAAGACCACAGGAAAAUAUGUUAGAUUAGAAGACAGUCCUUCUCUUUAUUUAGCUUUGGAGGGUGAGGUAGAGUGAGAGAGGUGACUUCCCUUGGGUGGCAUGUGUCUGCUUUGCAACCUCGGUGCCCUCUAGAACCUGGAAGGCCCCAGCGUUUAGGAGGCUCCUUGUGUCCCAACGCUGCAGCCUUUCUUCUGUGUCAGAGGAACAUCGUUGUAAUGUUGGGAAAUCCUGGCCGGGUCACAGUGAACCAUCUGGAACAAAGGGCAGCAUGACCUUCUAACUUGCCUAAUAGUUUGAAAAUCCAUUUUGAGAAGCUCAAUGCAAAAAUGACCUUGCUCCAAUGUCUUUUCUGUACUAUGGGUUUUAAAUACAUACCUUCUGAGAAGGCAGUAAAUUUACUUGAAUUUCAUCUUCAACAGUAAAAAGUAACGGCUUAGGUCCAUUGCCUCCUGCUCCUAGAUGCUGCUAAUGUGAAAGAACCCAAAUCCCACAUGCCUGUUUCGAGAGCUGCAAGAGCAGGUGCGUCGGCAUCCUGUACGGCGCAGUUAGCCACGGAGGACUCACUCGCUGUUGUUGCUUGGAAGCUUUGCUGGAAUUCUAAUCUUUCUUUCUUUUAAUCUUAGCUUGUGAAAUAGAAGGUUUUGUUUUGCUCAGCUGGUCGAUUCCCUAGGUGCAGGUAUUUGGCAACUAUAAACUACAAAUUAGGUUAGGUAUGCAGAGCAGAAAAUUUCUAGUUUAUAAAUAAAAGCAAUUUAUUUUAACCCAAUAAGAAAACAAACAAAAACACUAAUAAAGGAAACAAAUAAGAAUGUAUAAACUAUGGGGCUGGAAUUAUGGCUCAGCGGUAGAGUGCUCACCUAGCACAUUCGAGAUGCUGGGUUCAAUCCGCAGCACCACCUAAAAAUAAAUAAAAUAAAGUUAUUGUGUCCAACUACAACUAAAAAAAUAUUUAAAAAGAAAGAAUAUAAAAUAUCAUUCCAUAAGACCAAAGCUGAUGAACCAGUUUAGUUCCCAGUCUAAACCUGGGAGGGAAGAGUGGGGGUAGGUACGAACCUCAAAUGGGUCUACCUUUUCCAGUCCUGUGCUCUUCUGUGCGAGCAGGGCCUCUCUCCAUAGUUCUCACAGA